rnacentral:sRNA from 1 species
AAAGAGCACCAUUUCUGUCAAGGCCAUCUGUGACUAUCGGCAGAUCGAGAUUACUAUUUGCAAAAAUGAUGAAUGUGUGCUAGAAGAUAAUUCUCAGCGGACCAAAUGGAAAGUGAUCAGCCCCACAGGGAACGAGGCAAUGGUGCCAUCAGUCUGCUUCCUCAUCCCCCCACCCAAUAAGGAUGCCAUUGAGAUGGCCAGCAGGGUCGAACAAUCUUAUCAGAAGGUGAUGGCCCUUUGGCACCAGCUACAUGUUAACACCAAAAGCCUUAUGUCUUGGAACUAUCUGCGUAAAGACCUUGACCUUGUACAGACCUGGAACCUAGAAAAGCUUCGAUCCUCAGCACCAGGGGAGUGCCAUCAGAUUAUGAAGAACCUUCAGGCCCACUAUGAAGACUUUCUGCAGGAUAGUCGUGACUCUGUGCUGUUCUCAGUGGCUGAUCGCUUGCGCUUGGAAGAGGAGGUGGAAGCUUGUAAAGCCCACUUCCAGCACCUGAUGAAGUCCAUGGAGAAUGAGGACAAAGAGGAGACUGCGGCCAAGAUGUACAUUUCAGAGUUGAAGAACAUCCGACUACGCCUGGAGGAGUAUGAACAGAGGGUGGUCAAACGAAUUCAGUCUCUAGCCAGCUCUAGGACUGACAAAGAUGCCCGGCAGGACAAUGCAUUAAGGAUUGCAGAGCAAGAGCACACCCAGGAGGAUUUACAGCAACUGAGGUCAGACUUGGAUGCAGUUUCUAUGAAAUGUGACAGCUUUCUCCAUCAGUCUCCAUCUAGUUCAAGUGUCCCAACUCUGCGCUCAGAACUGAAUCUGCUGGUGGAGAAGAUGGACCAUGUCUAUGGUCUCUCUACUGUAUAUCUGAAUAAGUUAAAGACAGUUGAUGUUAUAGUACGUAGCAUACAGGAUGCUGAACUCUUGGUCAAAGGUUAUGAGAUUAAGCUGAGUCAAGAAGAAGCAGUACUGGCAGAUCUCUCAGCUCUGGAGGCCCAUCGGUCGACAUUACGGCACUGGCUUAGUGAUGUGAAGGACAAGAAUUCAGUGUUUUCAGUCCUGGAUGAGGAAAUUGCCAAGGCCAAGGCAGUGGCAGAGCAGAUGAGUCGUCUGACACCAGAGCGAAAUCUGGAUUUGGAGCGCUAUCAGGAAAAAGGCUCCCAGCUGCAGGAGCGUUGGCACCGAGUCAUUGCCCAGCUCGAGAUUCGCCAAUCUGAGCUAGAAAGUAUCCAGGAAGUUCUGGGAGAUUACCGAGCCUGCCAUGGAACUCUCAUCAAGUGGAUUGAGGAAACCACUGCCCAGCAGGAAAUGAUGAAGCCAGGCCAGGCAGAGGAUAGCAGAGUGCUUUCAGAGCAGCUCAGCCAGCAGACAGCCCUAUUUGCAGAAAUUGAGAGAAAUCAGACAAAACUGGAUCAAUGUCAAAAAUUUUCCCAGCAGUACUCUACUAUUGUAAAGGACUAUGAAUUGCAACUGAUGACAUACAAGGCCUUUGUGGAAUCGCAGCAGAAAUCCCCUGGCAAGCGCCGUCGCAUGCUUUCCUCUUCAGAUGCCAUCACUCAAGAGUUCAUGGACUUAAGGACUCGCUACACGGCAUUGGUGACUUUAACAACGCAGCACGUGAAAUACAUCAGUGAUGCACUCCGGCGUCUGGAGGAGGAGGAGAAAGUGGUAGAAGAGGAGAAACAAGAACAUGUGGAGAAGGUUAAAGAACUUUUGGGCUGGGUGUCUACCCUAGCGAGGAAUACACAAGGAAAAGCUACCUCAUCCGAGACCAAAGAAUCAACAGACAUUGAAAAAGCUAUUUUGGAACAGCAGGUUCUGUCAGAAGAGCUGACAACAAAGAAAGAACAAGUCUCUGAAGCUAUUAAAACAUCACAGAUCUUCUUGGCCAAGCAUGGUCAUAAGCUCUCAGAAAAAGAGAAGAAACAAAUAUCUGAGCAAUUGCAUGCCCUAAACAAGGCUUACCAUGACCUUUGUGAUGGUUCUGCAAAUCAGCUUCAGCAGCUUCAGAGCCAGUUGGCUCACCAGACAGAACAAAAGACCCUGCAGAAACAACAAAAUACCUGUCACCAGCAACUGGAGGAUCUUUGCAGUUGGGUAGGACAGGCAGAAAGAGCACUGGCAGGCCACCAAGGCAGAACCACCCGGCAGGAUCUCUCUGCUUUGCAGAAGAACCAAAGUGACUUGAAGGAUUUACAGGAUGACAUUCAGAAUCAUGCCACCUCAUUUGCCACUGUUGUCAAGGACAUUGAGGGGUUCAUGGAAGAGAAUCAGACCAAGCUGAGCCCACGUGAGUUGACAGCUCUUCGGGAAAAGCUUCAUCAGGCUAAGGAGCAAUAUGAGGCGCUCCAGGAACAGACACGUGUGGCCCAGAAGGAACUGGAGGAAGCAGUGACCUCCGCCUUACAGCAGGAGACUGAAAAGAGUAAAGCAGCAAAGGAACUGGCAGAGAACAAGAAGAAGAUCGAUGCUCUCCUGGAUUGGGUAACUUCAGUAGGAUCAUCUGGUGGACAGCUGCUGACCAACCUUCCAGGAAUGGAGCAGCUCUCGGAAGCUAGCUUGGAGAAAGGAGCCUUGGACACCACUGAUGGUUACAUGGGAGUGAAUCAAGCCCCAGAGAAACUGGACAAGCAACGUGAGAUGAUGAAGGCCCGUCACCAAGAAUUGCUGUCCCAGCAGCAAAAUUUCAUUCUGGCCACCCAGUCAGCUCAGGCCUUCUUGGAUCAGCAUGGCCACAAUCUCACACCUGAGGAGCAACAGAUGCUGCAAGAGAAACUGGGAGAGCUAAAGGAGCAAUACUCUACUUCCCUGGCCCAAUCAGAGGCAGAACUGAAGCAGGUGCAGACACUUCAGGAUGAGUUGCAGAAAUUUCUGCAGGAUCAUAGAGAGUUUGAAAGCUGGUUGGAACGAUCUGAGAAAGAGCUGGAGAACAUGCAUAAGGGAGACAGCAGCCCCGAGGCCCUUCCCUCCCUGCUAAAGCGGCAAGGAAGCUUCUCAGAGGAUGUCAUUUCCCACAAAGGAGACUUGAGAUUUGUGACUAUCUCAGGACAGAAAGUCUUGGACAUGGAAAACAGUUUUAAGGAAGGCAAAGAACCAUCAGAAAUUGGAAACUUAGUAAAGGACAAGUUGAAGGAUGCAACAGAAAGAUACACUGCUCUCCACUCAAAGUGUACACGAUUAGGAUCUCACCUGAAUAUGCUGUUAGGCCAGUAUCAUCAAUUCCAAAACAGUGCUGACAGCCUGCAGGCCUGGAUGCAGACUUGUGAGGCCAACGUGGAGAAGCUCCUCUCAGAUACUGUUGCCUCUGACCCUGGAGUUCUCCAGGAGCAGCUUGCAACAACAAAGCAGUUGCAGGAGGAAUUGGCUGAGCACCAAGUACCUGUGGAAAAGCUCCAAAAAGUAGCUCGUGACAUAAUGGAAAUUGAAGGGGAGCCAGCCCCAGACCACAAGCAUGUUCAAGAAACUACAGAUUCCAUACUCAGCCACUUCCAAAGCCUCUCCUACAGCCUGGCUGAGCGAUCUUCUCUGCUGCAGAAAGCAAUUGCCCAAUCUCAGAGUGUCCAGGAAAGCCUGGAGAGCCUGUUACAGUCUAUUGGGGAAGUUGAACAAAACCUGGAAGGGAAGCAGGUGUCAUCACUCUCAUCAGGAGUCAUCCAGGAAGCCUUAGCCACAAAUAUGAAAUUGAAGCAGGACAUUGCUCGGCAAAAGAGCAGCUUGGAGGCCACCCGUGAGAUGGUGACCCGAUUCAUGGAGACAGCAGACAGUACCACAGCAGCAGUGCUGCAGGGCAAACUGGCAGAGGUGAGCCAGCGGUUCAAACAGCUCUGUCUACAGCAGCAAGAAAAGGAGAGCUCCCUAAAGAAGCUUCUGCCCCAGGCAGAGAUGUUUGAACAUCUCUCUGGUAAGCUGCAGCAGUUCAUGGAAAACAAAAGUCGGAUGCUGGCCUCUGGAAAUCAGCCAGAUCAAGAUAUUACACGUUUCUUCCAACAGAUCCAGGAGCUCAAUUUGGAAAUGGAAGACCAACAGGAGAACCUAGAUACUCUUGAGCACCUGGUCACUGAACUGAGCUCUUGUGGCUUUGCACUGGACCUGUCUCAGCAUCAGGACAGGGUACAGAACCUCAGAAAAGACUUCACAGAGCUACAGAAGACAGUUAAAGAGCGAGAGAAAGAUGCAUCAUCUUGCCAGGAACAGUUGGAUGAAUUCCGGAAGCUGGUCAGGACCUUCCAGAAAUGGCUGAAAGAAACUGAAGGGAGUAUUCCACCUACAGAAACUUCUAUGAGUGCUAAAGAGUUAGAAAAGCAGAUUGAACACCUGAAGAGUCUACUAGAUGACUGGGCAAGUAAGGGAACUCUGGUAGAAGAAAUCAAUUGCAAAGGUACUUCUUUAGAAAAUCUCAUCAUGGAAAUCACAGCACCUGAUUCCCAAGGCAAGACAGGUGAGUACAGGCUCUUCAAAAUAUAGUGAAUAAAAAUUGCUCUUUGCUUUUGGCCUUUGGAAAUGCCUCCUUAUAUAAUUAAAGUGAAAAUCAAGGUUGAGUAUGAAAACAAAGGGCAUGCCCAAAGCAGUCUUCCCCUGCAACCUGACCUGUCACCCCUUUUGCUAUAUAACAUUGCUCCAUUUUGCAAAAUUCCUUCUCAUGAUGGGAAAAGUAAAUGAACUAGUUGUCCCACUUAGAACUAUCCAAUGAACAUAGAAUAAUUAAAAUAAGAUUUUCAUCUUGAGAAUUUCCCUUUUUUGAAUGUGUAAAUGGGAUGGGUAAGCAUCAUCUUUAAACUUGGGCACUGGCCAGGCACGAAGUCAGCAGAUCAAAACCAGCCUGGCCAACAUGGUGAAACCCCAUCUCUACUAAAAAUACAAAAAUUAGGCCAGGUGCGUCAGCUCACGCCUGUAAUCCCAGAACUUUGGGAGGCCGAGGCAGGCGGAUCAGAAAGUCAGGAGAUUGAGACCAGUCUUGGCUAACACGGUGAAAUCCCAUCUCUACUAAAAAUACAAAAAAUUAGCCACGCGUGGUAGCGGGUGCCUGUAGUCCCAGCUACUCAGGAGGCUGAGGCAGGAGAAUGGUGUGGAGCUUGCAGUGAGCCAAGAUCACGCCACUGCACUCCAACUUGGGCAACAGACAGAGCGAGACUCUGUCUCAAAAAAAAAAAAAAAAAAAAAGCCGGGCAUGGUGGCACGUGCCUAUAGUCCCAGCUACUCGAGAGUCUGAAACAGGAGAAUAGCUUGAACCUGGUAGGUGGAGGUUUCAUUGAGUCAAGAUCGUGCAUGCACUCCAGCCUGGGCAACAGACAGAGUGAGACUCCGUCUCAGG